AUCGAGCGAACUGAUUAGAAGCUUGCUUCUAUGACGUUAGCGGCGGACGGGUGAGUAACACGUGGGCAACCUGCCUGUAAGACUGGGAUAACUUCGGGAAACCGAAGCUAAUACCGGAUAGGAUCUUCUCCUUCAUGGGAGAUGAUUGAAAGAUGGUUUCGGCUAUCACUUACAGAUGGGCCCGCGGUGCAUUAGCUAGUUGGUGAGGUAACGGCUCACCAAGGCAACGAUGCAUAGCCGACCUGAGAGGGUGAUCGGCCACACUGGGACUGAGACACGGCCCAGACUCCUACGGGAGGCAGCAGUAGGGAAUCUUCCGCAAUGGACGAAAGUCUGACGGAGCAACGCCGCGUGAGUGAUGAAGGCUUUCGGGUCGUAAAACUCUGUUGUUAGGGAAGAACAAGUACGAGAGUAACUGCUCGUACCUUGACGGUACCUAACCAGAAAGCCACGGCUAACUACGUGCCAGCAGCCGCGGAAUACGAGG
rnacentral:rRNA from 1 species